CUUGGAUAAGUAAAAUCACUUCUCUAAACCAUUUCCUCUUCUGUAAGAUAGAGAUAAUAACGCAGUGGAAGUACCUCAUUGGAUGACUAUAAAGGUUAAUGAUAAUCCAGAUGAAGUACUUAGCACAGACUGUGGCCAAAACAUAUGUGCAAAAACAAGAAAAAUUUGCAGCAAAUACCAGCAAAAGACGAGGAUCGGACCAAGAACAAGCUCAGCUGCUACCAUCUCCAGGAAGUUUUCCUUCAUCUGAAGAAGACUCGAAGCCAAAGCUCC